rnacentral:misc_RNA from 1 species
GGAAGUAUCUGUGGUCACUGAAGGUGUCACACUUCCAUUUAGCCUGGAAAGCAAGUUUGUCGAGUAUUCAGAACCUGAUGUAGUCGGUACACAAGUUGUUGAUGCAGAUCCUUGUGAUUCUGCUAACAAAUUUCUCAAGUUUACAGAAACUGUAGGAGUUGGCACACAAGUCAGUAAUGCAGAACCUUAUGAAUCUGCUCGCAAAAUUGAGUAUGU